GUCGCGAUAGCCUAUUAGCGUUGAGAUUUUCCAGCAGCUUCAGAGCAUUGUUUGGGGAGGAACAAGCAGAGCGGAGGGAAUGACUGAAUGAAUGUCCGUUGGGCUGGACAUUGCUUGUAAAAAAGAAAGUGAGGAAGUUGAACUCCCUGGAGAGGGUUCCCACCUGCUUCACAGCCACCAUUAUCCCUGUACCAAAAAGAUCUGCAGUCUCUAAUCUACUCAUCCAAGUGCUUUGAAAAAUGGAUUCUCCAGCACAUCAAAUCAACUUCUCAGCUAGCCUGGCCCCUCACCAGUUUCACAGAGGAUCUCCCCUGCCCUCCAAUCUUCCUUCACACACCUUCGUUAAUACUUUACAAUAUGAGCUGUGGAGUCUGGAUCUGUGGUUGCGAGUCACCUGCUGCCCCCGUGUUCCUGCUAC